rnacentral:rRNA from 1 species
CGGGUGAGUAACACGUGGAUAACCUACCUAUAAGACUGGGAUAACUUCAGGAAACCGGAGCUAAUACCGGAUAAUAUAUUGAACCGCAUGGUUCAAUAGUGAAAGACGGUUUUGCUGUUACUUAUAGAUGGAUCCGCGCCGCAUUAGCUAGUUGGUAAGGUAACGGCUUACCAAGGCAACGAUGCGUAGCCGACCUGAGAGGGUGAUCGGCCACACUGGAACUGAGACACGGUCCAGACUCCUACGGGAGGCAGCAGCA